rnacentral:lncRNA from 1 species
GAGGGAGGAAAGCAGCGCACAGGUACCGGGCCCCGGGAAGCCAUUCGAUUUAGAAGAAAUACGCUGAUGGUUGCCCUGCGGACCCCUGCCCACACCGCCCGAGGGACUCCUUCCCACGUCCGCUCCGGAGCCCAGAAGUUAGCUGCGGAGUUUGUUUGUCGCGCCCGCGCACCUAGAGUGUGCAAGGAGAGCCGGCGCCCGCCCGCCCGCCCGCCCGAGCUCUGCCCCGUUCUCUGCUCCUGCAGUUCCGCCGCCGCCGCCGAGAGCUCGGGGCGACAGCGAGCGGCUGCGGCGGCGCGAAACCCCGGCGGCAGCCGCCGAGUCUCUGUAGCCGGGCCGGGAAAGCCGGGAGCGGCCCGCGCAGAAGCAUCCUUGAGUAACCGGGGAAAUGAGGACGCUAGCGUGAGCUUUGUAGGAACAACAAAGGCAAGAAAAGGCGUCUGCACCAGGAUGGCCGAGUGGUUAAGGCGUUGGACUUAAGAUCCAAUGGACAUAUGUCUGCGUGGGUUCGAACCCCACUCCUGGUUCAUUCAGUUGUCUGGAGUCGUAGAAAAAUAUUUUUCAAAAAACUCCCAACUCUGUGGGAAAUGGUAUCAGUAUAUUUAAAUUGUGACACCUACUGGAAAACUUGAGGCUGGAGAGAUGGUUCAGCAGUUAAGAGCACUGACUGCUCUUCUAGAGGUCCUGAGUUCAAAUCCCAGCAACCACAUGGUGGUUCACAACCAUCUGUAAUGAGAUCUGAUGCCCUCUUCUGGUGCAUCUGAAGACAGCUACAGUGUACUUAUUUAUAAUAAUAAAUAAAUCUUUUUUAAAAAAGAUUUCAUUUCAAAAACAGGAAUUUUAGAGGAAGGCAUAGAUUGCAUUUUUCUGAUUUAUUUAUUGAAUUUCUUGUUUCACUUAACAGUCUUUAAAUGCCUAGUUUUCCAGUGGCCUUCUUCAAAGGCAGAAUUUUGUAAUGUCUUGGGUUUUUUUUUUUUUUUUUUUAUAAAGUAAUGUUUUGAAAUCUAACUUGAAAAGAAAAGAAAAAUAAACUCGGAGUUUUC